rnacentral:rRNA from 1 species
GACGAACGCUGGCGGCGUGCUUAACACAUGCAAGUCGAACGGAAAGGCCCUGCUUGCAGGGUACUCGAGUGGCGAACGGGUGAGUAACACGUGGGUGAUCUGCCCUGCACUUCGGGAUAAGCCUGGGAAACUGGGUCUAAUACCGGAUAGGAGCCAUUUUUAGUGUGAUGGUUGGAAAGUUUUUUCGGUGUAGGAUGAGCUCGCGGCCUAUCAGCUUGUUGGUGGGGUAAUGGCCUACCAAGGCGGCGACGGGUAGCCGGCCUGAGAGGGUGGACGGCCACAUUGGGACUGAGAUACGGCCCAGACACCUACGGGAGGCAGCAGUGGGGAAGAUUGCACAAUGGGCGCAAGCCUGAUGCAGCGACGCCGCGUGGGGGAUGACGGCCUUCGGGUUGUAAACUCCUUUCGCUAGGGACGAAGCUUUUUGUGACGGUACCUAGAUAAGAAGCACCGGCUAACUACGUG